rnacentral:lncRNA from 1 species
GAGCAUGGUGAACAUUUACAGUGAAAUUAAAGUGCGCGACUACAAUAGAAAUUAUUAUAGGAAUAACAAUUGUGUAAUAUUUACAAAGCUGUAGGAUAAGGAGUACCAAAUUCUGCAUAAUGUUAAUAUAAAACGUUUAUUUUGACCGUAUCCCAUAGUUUCAGAUAUGCAUAUGAAACCGAACGAUUUAUCACUCACUGAACUAGCUUAUAAAUAACAUUAAAAAGUGGAACAUUUUAAUUGAACGACUGAAAAAUCGAGAUCUUAUGUGUUUUUAAACAUAUCCUCGUAAGUAGGAGUCCGGAAUAGAUGCAAUAAUUUACGCAAUGAUUUGUAACAGUUUUUAUUGGUGGGAGGAGAUUGAGAUCAUGGUUGCAAUCCUGUCGAAAAAGCAGAAACUGAACUUAAAACAGGCUUAAAACUUGGGGACACUGACGAAACAACCGAAAUAUUUUAUAAACCACAGUACAAGAAGUAGUCGAUCUCAGUACAAUCUCAUCCCAACGAAUUCAUAUACGUAUUUCCACAGUUGUCGAAACAAAAACUUGUUCCGAAGAAUGUACAUCUGUCAGUAACAGUAUGUCAGUUUUUGAACAACAGAAAAUAGACAUGGAUACAGACAUCCACUAUGAAACUGUAGACGGAAAGUAUACCUGCUUUGAAGAGUCGUUCUGGUGCUCAAGCCGUUUUUUACUUAUCGUUAUCGGCUUCUGUGGAUUUAUGAAUCUAUACGCCUUGCGAGUAACCAUGAGUGUUGCAAUAGUGUGUAUGACGGGAUCUGAGACGAGCAAUACCAGCAGUUUUGCCGAUGGAAAUGUUUCAGAAAGUUAUAUGCCAGAGGUUUGUUAUGAAACAUUUGCUACUUUUCUAAUAUCUUAAAGCAAAAUUUUGAUCUAUCAUAACAUUUGUCUCUGAUCUCACUUAAAUGCAUUAAACAAUUGCACGUGGUAAACCACAUAUUAAUGUGAUACCAUUUGACUAAAUAUAUUCAAAGGAGACAAAUGAUAUACAUGAUAGUCAGUAAGCAUUUAUAUAUUUGUUUUAAAUUGGUGAUACCGAAAUAUUAUCACAUACGAAGUCUAUUUACAAUACGAGUCCAGGUACAGGUAUCAAACCAAGAUGACAGGUUUGAUUGGGACAAAGAGACUUAAGGACUUAUACUUGGUUCCUUUUAUCUUGGAUAUGCACUGACACUAUUACCAAGCGGUUGGCUUUCAGGAAGAUAUGGCGAAAAACAAUUGUUUGGCUAGAGCAUGUUUGUUUGUGCUGUUGUAACAUUAUUCACACCACUGGCUGCGAGGACAAGUGUGGUUGUGCUUAUAGUUAUACGUGUUUUGACUGGCCUAUGUCAGGUAAAAACCAGUAGGAAGAUCUGCAUUCCAAGAAUGCAACCUACUUAAGACGAAAUUGUAUAGCUGUGUUCGUAUAGAUAUGUAUAGAAUAGAUAUUUGUAUACUUCAUAGACGACGUAAAACAUAAUGAAAUCAAGGCCAUUGAGUAAAAUACUAAGGAAAAACGAGACAUUGUUUUGAAACGGUCUCGGAAAUUUUAAACCAGUUAAUUCUGAACUCGUAUCUUUCAUGCUAUGAAAAUAACAAUCAUCUCCACCAUAUAAAUAACUAACAAAUUGGAGUACGAAUUCACACUGCGCUAAAUGCUGUACGUUCAUCCAUGCAUAUUUGAUAGCCGUUUUUCUAUAGUUAUUUUAUGCAGAAUAUGUCAAAUAACAUUUCUGAUCACGAGAUAAAUGUAUUGCCUACAGCAAAUUAAAAUAUUUCUUUCUUUUUUAUACUGUAAAGCUUAUAAUUUUGGUUCAUAUUUUAAUCCCUGAUGGUUACGCCUGUGUUCGGACGUGGCUGAGUUGGACGUAAUAUCAGACUGAAAUGAAAUGAAAGUGAUAAUUACGCCACGAGUUGGACUACCGUCUUCGUAACUAAUAACUAAAGAAACAUACAGCCCACGCAAUUAUUAUUUAGUAUAUUUUUCACUUACUUUUCCGAUAGGAACACUAAUAGUUUAUAUUGUAGUUGAUUUAUCUAUGUGAUUAUAGUGUACCAUUUUGUAAAAAUGUUCAUUCAUUUCGAAUUCUUUGUGCGAAAUCCGAGUCCUCAAAGCAUGCUUUCUCGACAAUAAAUAAAGUUUAGUGACAUAGAGAAUCUGUUAUUGGUCUUCGGUUAAGAUCAGGAAAUCCCAACCAGAGGGCGCA